AUAUUUUUUUCUAAAAAAGAAAAUCUGUUCUUAUCAGUUUAAUAUCUGAUACGUCCCCUAUCUGGGGACCAUAUAUUACAUAGAUUUUUGGAAUAGGGAGAUGGAAUAGGGGCUUGCUCCGUCCACUCCACGCAUCGACCUGGUAUUGCAGUACCUCCAGGAACGGUGCACCCCCU
rnacentral:snRNA from 1 species